UCUACGGGUGGCAGCAGUGGGGAAUAUUGCACAAUGGGCGAAAGCCUGAUGCAGCAACGCCGCGUGAGCGAUGAAGGCCUUCGGGUCGUAAAGCUAUGUCCUCAAGGAAGAUAAUGACGGGACUUGAGGAGGAAGCCCCGGCUAACGACGUGCCAGCAGCCGCGGUAAUAAGUAGGGGGCUAGCGUUAUCCGGAAUUAAUGGGCGUAAAGGGGUCGUAGGUGGGUUCUUAAGUCAGAGGUGAAAGGCUACGGCUCAACCGUAGUAAGCCUUUGAAAAUGGGAAACUUGAGUGCAGGAGAGGAGAGUGGAAUUCCUAGUGUAGCGGUGAAAUGCGUAGAUAUUAGGAGGAACACCAGUUGCGAAGGCGGCUCUCUGGACUGUAACUGACACUGAUGCACGAAAGCGUGGGGAGCAAACAGGAUUAGAUACCCCGGUAGUC
rnacentral:rRNA from 1 species